UCCAUUCCACUUGUGGUAUCAGAGAACUCAUUGCUACCUCUCGUCUCUCAGACCACCACAGUAGCAGGCCAAUGUCAAGCAGUUUCUUACACCCAGGAAUCAGAAACACUACGCUCCCAACAGGAUGAAGAAUAUUGCAGGUCCCUAUUAGCAGACCAACAGAAGGAAAUCAGGAAACGGGCCCUUGAGAAUAUCGAGGAAUGACGUAGAAGGGUUAGUUUAUAUGUAAAAGCUGUUUUUGUUUCAUUUUUUGCACUCUGUUAAUAACACUGACAGCUUUGUCUACAUGUAAGGCCAUUAAAGAACGAUGUCAG